AGAGUUUGAUCAUGGCUCAGAUUGAACGCUGGCGGCAGGCCUAACACAUGCAAGUCGAGCGGUAGCACAGAGAGCUUGCUCUCGGGUGACGAGCGGCGGACGGGUGAGUAAUGUCUGGGAAACUGCCUGAUGGAGGGGGAUAACUACUGGAAACGGUAGCUAAUACCGCAUAAUGUCGCAAGACCAAAGUGGGGGACCUUCGGGCCUCAUGCCAUCAGAUGUGCCCAGAUGGGAUUAGCUAGUAGGUGGGGUAACGGCUCACCUAGGCGACGAUCCCUAGCUGGUCUGAGAGGAUGACCAGCCACACUGGAACUGAGACACGGUCCAGACUCCUACGGGAGGCAGCAGUGGGGAAUAUUGCACAAUGGGCGCAAGCCUGAUGCAGCCAUGCCGCGUGUGUGAAGAAGGCCUUCGGGUUGUAAAGCACUUUCAGCGGGGAGGAAGGCGNNCGAUUGACGUUACCCGCAGAAGAAGCACCGGCUAACUCCGUGCCAGCAGCCGCGGUAAUACGGAGGGUGCAAGCGUUAAUCGGAAUUACUGGGCGUAAAGCGCACGCAGGCGGUCUGUCAAGUCGGAUGUGAAAUCCCCGGGCUCAACCUGGGAACUGCAUUCGAAACUGGCAGGCUAGAGUCUUGUAGAGGGGGGUAGAAUUCCAGGUGUAGCGGUGAAAUGCGUAGAGAUCUGGAGGAAUACCGGUGGCGAAGGCGGCCCCCUGGACAAAGACUGACGCUCAGGUGCGAAAGCGUGGGGAGCAAACAGGAUUAGAUACCCUGGUAGUCCACGCCGUAAACGAUGUCGAUUUGGAGGUUGUGCCCUUGAGGCGUGGCUUCCGGAGCUAACGCGUUAAAUCGACCGCCUGGGGAGUACGGCCGCAAGGUUAAAACUCAAAUGAAUUGACGGGGGCCCGCACAAGCGGUGGAGCAUGUGGUUUAAUUCGAUGCAACGCGAAGAACCUUACCUGGUCUUGACAUCCACAGAACUUUCCAGAGAUGGAUUGGUGCCUUCGGGAACUGUGAGACAGGUGCUGCAUGGCUGUCGUCAGCUCGUGUUGUGAAAUGUUGGGUUAAGUCCCGCAACGAGCGCAACCCUUAUCCUUUGUUGCCAGCGGUUAGGCCGGGAACUCAAAGGAGACUGCCAGUGAUAAACUGGAGGAAGGUGGGGAUGACGUCAAGUCAUCAUGGCCCUUACGACCAGGGCUACACACGUGCUACAAUGGCAUAUACAAAGAGAAGCGACCUCGCGAGAGCAAGCGGACCUCAUAAAGUAUGUCGUAGUCCGGAUUGGAGUCUGCAACUCGACUCCAUGAAGUCGGAAUCGCUAGUAAUCGUAGAUCAGAAUGCUACGGUGAAUACGUUCCCGGGCCUUGUACACACCGCCCGUCACACCAUGGGAGUGGGUUGCAAAAGAAGUAGGUAGCUUAACCUUCGGGAGGGCGCUUACCACUUUGUGAUUCAUGACUGGGGUGAAGUCGUAACAAGGUAACCGUAGGGGAACCUGCGGUUGGAUCACCU
rnacentral:rRNA from 1 species